rnacentral:tRNA from 6 species
GGCGGCGUAGCUCAGCUGGCUAGAGCAUUCGGUUCAUACCCGAAGUGUCCGGGGUUCAAAUCCCUGCGCCGCCACCA